UACGGAGGGUGCGAGCGUUAUUCGGAAUUACUGGGCGUAAAGGGCGCGCAGGCGGAUAUGCAAGUCUGCUGUGUAAUGUCACGGCUCAACCGUGGAAUUGCCUUUGAAACUGCUGGGCUUGGAUCCUGGAGAGGGUGGCGGAAUUCCUGGUGUAGCAGUGAAAUGCGUAGAUAUCGGGAGGAACACCAGUAGCGAAGGCGCCCUUCUGGACGGUUACUGACGCUGAGACGCGAAAGCGUGGGGAGCAAACAGG
rnacentral:rRNA from 1 species